UGGCUCAGUGGUUAAGGGCACUUGCUGCUCU
rnacentral:piRNA from 1 species